rnacentral:rRNA from 1 species
GCAUAUCAAUAAGCGGAGGAAAAGAAACUAACUAGGAUUCCCUUAGUAACGGCGAGUGAACCGGGAUGAGCUCAAAUUUAAAAUCUGGCGUCUUUCAGGCGUCCGAGUUGUAAUCUAUAGAGGCGUUUUCCGCGCCGGACCGCGUCCAAGUCUCUUGGAAUAGAGUAUCAAAGAGGGUGACAAUCCCGUACUUGACGCGACAACCGGUGCUCUGUGAUACGUUCUCAAUGAGUCGAGUUGUUUGGGAAUGCAGCUCUAAAUGGGUGGUAAAUUCCAUCUAAGGCUAAAUAUUGGCGAGAGACCGAUAGCGAACAAGUACCGUGAGGGAAAGAUGAAAAGCACUUUGGAAAGAGAGUUAAACAGCACGUGAAAUUGUUAAAAGGGAAACGAUUGAAGUCAGUCGUGUGAAAGGUAUUCAGCCGUCUCUGGCGGUGUAUUUGCCUUUCACGGGUCAACAUCAGUUUGAUCCGGUAGAAAAAGGCAGGAGGAAGGUGGCACCCUCGGGUGUGUUAUAGCCUCUUGUCAUAUGUGCCGGACCAGACUGAGGAACGCAGCUUGCCGCAAGGCCGGGGUUCGCCCACGUACAAGCUUAGGAUGUUGACAUAAUGGCUUUAAACGGUCCGUCUUGAAACACGGACC